rnacentral:rRNA from 1 species
AUUGAACGCUGGCGGCAGGCCUAACACAUGCAAGUCGAGCGGAUGAAGGGAGCUUGCUCCUGGAUUCAGCGGCGGACGGGUGAGUAAUGCCUAGGAAUCUGCCUGGUAGUGGGGGAUAACGUCCGGAAACGGGCGCUAAUACCGCAUACGUCCUGAGGGAGAAAGUGGGGGAUCUUCGGACCUCACGCUAUCAAAUGAGCCCAGGUCGGAUUAGCUAGUUGGUGGGGUAAAGGCCUACCAAGGCGACGAUCCGUAACUGGUCUGAGAGGAUGAUCAGUCACACUGGAACUGAGACACGGUCCAGACUCCUACGGGAGGCAGCAGUGGGGAAUAUUGGACAAUGGGCGAAAGCCUGAUCCAGCCAUGCCGCGUGUGUGAAGAAGGUCUUCGGAUUGUAAAGCACUUUAAGUUGGGAGGAAGGGCAGUAAGUUAAUACCUUGCUGUUUUGACGUUACCAACAGAAUAAGCACCGGCUAACUUCGUG